rnacentral:rRNA from 1 species
CAGUAGCCGCGGGAAUACGAAGGGGGCUAGCGUUGCUCGGAAUGACUGGGCGUAAAGGGCGCGUAGGCGGUUUGCACAGUCAGAUGUGAAAUUCCUGGGCUUAACCUGGGGGCUGCAUUUGAUACGUGCAGGCUUGAGUGUGGAAGAGGGUCGUGGAAUUCCCAGUGUAGAGGUGAAAUUCGUAGAUAUUGGGAAGAACACCGGUGGCGAAGGCGGCGACCUGGUCCAUAACUGACGCUGAGGCGCGAAAGCGUGGAGAGCAAACAGGAUUAGAUACCCCAGUAGUCCCUGUCUCUUAUAC